AACGAACGCUGGCGGCAGGCUUAACACAUGCAAGUCGAACGCCCCGCAAGGGGAGUGGCAGACGGGUGAGUAACACGUGGGAAUGUACCUUUCAGUUCGGAACAACACAGAGAAAUUUGUGCUAAUACCGUAUACGUCCGUAAGGAGAAAGAUUUAUCGCUGAAAGAUCAGCCCGCGUCAGAUUAGGUAGUUGGUGGGGUAAUGGCCUACCAAGCCGACGAUCUGUAGCUGGUCUGAGAGGAUGAUCAGCCACACUGGGACUGAGACACGGCCCAGACUCCUACGGGAGGCAGCAGUGGGGAAUAUUGGACAAUGGGCGCAAGCCUGAUCCAGCCAUGCCGCGUGUGUGAU
rnacentral:rRNA from 1 species